UGCUUAACACAUGCAAGUCGAACGAUGAUGCAGGGCUUGCUCUGCGGAUUAGUGGCGAACGGGUGAGGAACACGUGAGAAACCUGCCCCAGACUCUGGGAUAACAAUUAGAAAUGAUUGCUAAUACCGGAUGACGUCGGAGAACCGCAUGGUUCACUGACGAAAGGAAAUCCGGCUUGGGAGGGUCUCGCGACCUAUCAGCUAGUUGGCGGGGUAAUGGCCCACCAAGGCGUCGACGGGUAGCUGGUCUGAGAGGAUGAUCAGCCACACUGGGACUGAGACACGGCCCAGACUCCUACGGGAGGCAGCAGUGGGGAAUCUUGCGCAAUGGGCGAAAGCCUGACGCAGCAACGCCGCGUGCGGGUUGAAGGCCUUCGGGCUGUAAACCG
rnacentral:rRNA from 1 species